rnacentral:rRNA from 1 species
UACGGAGGGUGCAAACGUUGCUCGGAAUUAUUGGGCGUAAAGCGCACGUAGGCGGUUCGUUAAGUCGGAUGUGAAAGCCCUAGGCUCAACCUAGGAAGUGCAUUCGAAACUGGCGAGCUUGAAUAUGGAAGAGGGUCGCGGAAUUCCCGGUGUAGAGGUGAAAUUCGUAGAUAUCGGGAGGAACACCAGUGGCGAAGGCGGCGACCUGGGCAGAUACUGACACUGAGGUGCGAAAGCGUGGGGAGCAAACAGG